AGACGCUCCCAAGUUGUCUCCUCCGGUGGUAGUCCUUCCCAUUGAACUAGUAGCUCGAUGUAGUGUAUUUCUUUAUCAAUCACUGUCCUUUUCCCCAAUAUCGCCAACGGAAUAGUCACGAUCUCGUUCCUGUAAGUAACAUCUGGCAUAUUUUGUUUUAACAUUUCUGGAUUUGUACCUUUGAAUUUUUUCAGCUUUGAUAUGUGAAAAAUUGGGUGGAUUUUGCUAGUUUUUGGUAGUUCUAACUGGUAUGCUACUUUGCUGAUUGCUUUGGUGACCUUGAAUGGACCGAAGUAACGAGCUGAUAAUUUCGGAUGAAACCUGAAUUCCACGGAAUAUUGCCUGUAGGGUUGCAGCCGCACCAUCACCCAAUCUCCCUCGGUAAGAAUUGUUUCUCUUCUGGAUUUAUCCGCCAUAUCUUUCAUAUAUUGUUGGGAUUUCUUUAAGCUUGCUUUCAC
rnacentral:lncRNA from 1 species